rnacentral:rRNA from 1 species
CAGCCGCCGCGGGAAUACGUAGGGUGCGAGCGUUAAUCGGAAUUACUGGGCGUAAAGCGUGCGCAGGCGGUUUUGUAAGACAGGCGUGAAAUCCCCGGGCUCAACCUGGGAAUGGCGCAUGUGACUGCAAAGCUAGAGUGCGGCAGAGGGGGAUGGAAUUCCGCGUGUAGCAGUGAAAUGCGUAGAUAUGCGGAGGAACACCGAUAGCGAAGGCAAUCCCCUGGGCCUGCACUGACGCUCAUGCACGAAAGCGUGGGGAGCAAACAGGAUUAGAUACCGCGUAGUCCCUGUCUCUUAUACA